rnacentral:rRNA from 1 species
AAAACACGGGAUUGCCUCAGUAACUGCGAGUGAAGCGACAAAAGCUCAAAUUUGAAAUCUGGCGUCCUCUGGGCGUCCGAGUUGUAAUUUGGAGGAGCGUCUUCGGGAGCGGCACUGUCCUAAGUUCUUUGGAACAGGACGUCAUAGAGGGUGAGAAUCCCGUGCCUGGGCGGUUGCCCGUUCCCAUGUGAAGUGCUUCCGACGAGUCGAGUUGUUUGGGAAUGCAGCUCAAAAUGGGUGGUAAAUUUCAUCUAAAGCUAAAUAUUGGCGAGAGACCGAUAGCGCACAAGUAGAGUGAUCGAAAGAUGAAAAGCACUUUGAAAAGAGAGUUAAAAAGUACGUGAAAUUGUUGAAAGGGAAGCGCUUGAGAUCAAACUCGGCCUUUGGUGAUCCACUGGGCUUCUGUCCGGUGAAACUUUGCCAUUGGCCGGGCCAGCAUCGGUUCUGACGGUGGGAAAAACGGCCGGGGAAUGUGGCUCCUCUCGGGGAGUGUUAUAGACCUGGCCUUAGAUACCGCCAGUUGGGACCGAGGACCGCGCUUCGGCUAGGAUGCUGGCGUAAUGGUCUUAAGCGACCCGUCUUGAAACACGGACCAAGGAGUCUAACAUCUAUGCGAGUGUUCGGGUGGAAAACCCUUGCGCGUAAUGAAAGUGAACGGAGGUGGGAACCGCAAGGUGCACCAUCGACCGAUCCUGAUGUCUUC